AAUGGGCGCAAGCCUGAUCCAGCCAUGCCGCGUGAGUGAAGAAGGCCUUCGGGUUGUAAAGCUCUUUCGGACGGAAAGAAAUCGCGCAGGCUAAUACCCUGCGCGGAUGACGGUACCGUCAUAAGAAGCACCGGCUAACUACGUGCCAGCAGCCGCGGUAAUACGUAGGGUGCGAGCGUUAAUCGGAAUUACUGGGCGUAAAGCGUGCGCAGGCGGUUGAUUAAGACAGGCGUGAAAUCCCCGGGCUUAACCUGGGAACUGCGCUUGUGACUGGUCAGCUAGAGUACGGCAGAGGGGGGUGGAAUUCCACGUGUAGCAGUGAAAUGCGUAGAGAUGUGGAGGAACACCGAUGGCGAAGGCAGCCCCCUGGGCCGAUACUGACGCUCAUGCACGAAAGCGUGGGUAGCAAA
rnacentral:rRNA from 1 species